CGCGGCCUAUCAGCUUGUUGGUGAGGUAAUGGCUCACCAAGGCGUCGACGGGUAGCCGGCCUGAGAGGGUGACCGGCCACACUGGGACUGAGACACGGCCCAGACUCCUACGGGAGGCAGCAGUGGGGAAUAUUGCACAAUGGGCGGAAGCCUGAUGCAGCAACGCCGCGUGAGGGAUGACGGCCUUCGGGUUGUAAACCUCUUUUAGCAGGGAAGAAGCGAGAGUGACGGUACCUGCAGAAAAAGCACCGGCUAACUACGUGCCAGCAGCCGCGGUAAUACGUAGGGUGCAAGCGUUAUCCGGAAUUAUUGGGCGUAAAGAGCUCGUAGGCGGUCUGUCGCGUCUGCUGUGAAAUCCCGAGGCUCAACCUCGGGCUUGCAGUGGGUACGGGCAGACUAGAGUGCGGUAGGGGAGAUUGGAAUUCCUGGUGUAGCGGUGGAAUGCGCAGAUAUCAGGAGGAACACCGAUGGCGAAGGCAGAUCUCUGGGCCGUAACUGACGCUGAGGAGCGAAAGGGUGGGGAGCAAACAGGCUUAGAUACCCUGGUAGUCCACCCCGUAAACGUUGGGAACUAGUUGUGGGGUCCUUUCCACGGAUUCCGUGACGCAGCUAACGCAUUAAGUUCCCCGCCUGGGGAGUACGG
rnacentral:rRNA from 1 species